rnacentral:misc_RNA from 1 species
CGCAGAAUUUGUGGCGGCCGCUCAUGAUCUUAUUACUUUGACCAUAUUUUUAUCUUCCAUCUCUACUUUGCCAAUUUGUUUAUGCAACAUAGAAUAAUAUAUAUCUUUAUUUAAUCCAUGUCAAUAUCUAUUUUAUUUUUUAUAUUUUUUUAAAUCAAACAUUCAAAAAAAUGAACAUUUAAAAAACAUAAAAAAUAAAUUCAAGAUUUGAAGUAUAAAAUAAAAAACCCUGGCAAUACACCUACUCUCCCGCGAACUCGCAGUACCAUCAGCGAAUAAGAGCUA